UCUGUCCCCCACAUAGCUCAGUCCAUAGAGCAUGAGACUCUUGAUCUCAGGGUCGUGGGUUUGAGUCCCGCAUUGGGCAGAA
rnacentral:tRNA from 1 species